AGCAAGUAAGCGCCACAUCGAUCAACUCAGUCACGUAGUCACGUAGCUAUCUUGAUGAGAAAGGACUGAAAAGGAAAAUAAGAUUUGAAGAUGACAGACACAGCUUCCUGUCUGAUCGCACUGCUGACUGACUGAGCCUGGGAAGACAGAAGAGGGCACACAGGCGGGGAGAACAACAGCAGAAUGUUGCACUCUGGGAGGGGGAGAUAGAGAUGUGGAAGAAAGGAUGCACAAGAAGAAAGCAAGAGGUCAAGUGGAGAGUGAACAGUCAC